GGAAGUAAAAGUCGAACAAGGUUUCCGUAGGUGAACCUGCGGAAGGAUCAUUAAUGAGUUGUCAUGGGGUUCGAUGCUGGCAGCCAAUUUUUGGAUGCAUGUGCUUGCCCUAACAAUCAUCUUCCAAACACCUGUGCACAUUUUUGAGGGAGUCUUGAGUUGGUUGCCGCUCUUGGGUGAUUUUCUCACAUUCCCUUAAAUCAUUAUACGCUAUUAACAAUGUUGAACGUGCUCUGUGCCGCAAGGCUAUUAAUAUAAUACAACUUUUAACAACGGAUCUCUUGGCUCUC
rnacentral:misc_RNA from 1 species